rnacentral:rRNA from 1 species
CACGGAGUUAGCCGGUGCUUAUUCUUCUAGUACCUUCAGCUCUCUACACGUAAAGAGGUUUAUCCCUAGAUAAGAGCAGUUUACAAUCCAUAGGACCGUCUUCCUGCACGCGGCAUGGCUGGUUCAGGCUUGCGCCCAUUGACCAAUAUUCCUCACUGCUGCCUCCCGUAGGAGUCUGGUCCGUGUCUCAGUACCAGUGUGGGGGAUCACCCUCUCAGGCCCCCUACCAUCGUAGCCUUGGUAUGCCGUUACCAUACCAACUAGCUAAUGGGACGCAUGCCCAUCCUGUACCGUAACCUUUAAUUAAUAAGUGAUGCCACUCAUUAACACCAUGGGGUGUUAGUCCGAAUUUCUCCGGGAUAUCCCCCAGUACAGGGUAGGUUGCAUACGCGUUACGCACCCGUGCGCCGGUCGCCACCAUAAAGCAAGCUUUAUUAUGCUGCCCCUCGACUUGCAUGUGUUAGGCCUUGCCGCUAGCGUUCAUCCUGAGCCAGGAUCUAAA